rnacentral:lncRNA from 1 species
CAACCAGAGCCUCCGGACAGCACAUCGUGCAGUCAGUCUGGGCGCCCAGCUCUGCUCACCUGCCAGAAGGCCUCCCGCACCGUCUCCAGGCCGAGUGCCACGCUGAGAACCCGCAUUGAUUUAAAAACUGCCUUUUCUUUGAGAUGCAGAAUGACACGUCUAAAUAUUACACCACCAAGAGGACCCUUUCUGGCUCCCGUGGUAGCUGCAGACGCAUGUCAGCCUGCUGGUCGUGGGAGGAGGCUGUGACGAGCUCAGUCCUUGAAGCAAGAGUGAUGCCCACCACCAGGCGAGUGGGUGGAGGUCCACAGCCACUAUUUGAUUUCUGCUGCAAAGUUUGGCUCUGCUGUGUCCGCAAAGGGAAAAGCAAACGCCCCUCCUGGUCUCACCGCGGGUUUGGCACUAAUGACAGUGUCAGGAAGUCAUUCCAGUUCAGAAAGUACAGACAGUGGCUGUUGGGGUCUGACCACAGGAAAGGUAUUGUUAAAAGGGGAUUCUGGACAAGGGGUGGUUGUGGGUGCCCUGGGGCCUCUGAGUCUGGGGUGGGCUCAGGAGGACGCAGGACACAGCAGACCCAGAUGCAGAGAGCGGUGACACGGGCUCGUGGGGCUUGUGCUUGUGUGUGUGUGCGUGUGUGUGUGUGUCACCAUGAAUCUCCAAAUGAAAUCUUGAUCAACAAUCGUGGUGUUAGCCUGUGA